rnacentral:rRNA from 1 species
GAUGAACGCUGGCGGCGUGCCUAAUACAUGCAAGUCGAGCGAACAGACGAGGAGCUUGCUCCUUUGACGUUAGCGGCGGACGGGUGAGUAACACGUAGGUAACCUACCUAUAAGACUGGGAUAACUUCGGGAAACCGGAGCUAAUACCGGAUAAUAUUUCGAACCGCAUGGUUCGAUAGUGAAAGAUGGCUUUGCUAUCACUUAUAGAUGGACCUGCGCCGUAUUAGCUAGUUGGUAAGGUAACGGCUUACCAAGGCAACGAUACGUAGCCGACCUGAGAGGGUGAUCGGCCACACUGGGACUGAGACACGGUCCAGACUCCUACGGGAGGCAGCAGUAGGGAAUCUUCCGCAAUGGGCGAAAGCCUGACGGAGCAACGCCGCGUGAGUGAUGAAGGUCUUCUGAUCGUAAAACUCUGUUAUUAGGGAAGAACAAACGUGUAAGUAACUGUGCACGUCUUGACGGUACCUAAUCAGAAAGCCACGGCUAACUACGUG